UGUUUCGGCUAGGGGGUCAUCCCGACUUACCAACCCGAUGCAAACUACGAAUACCGAAGAAUGUUAUCACGGGAGACACACGGCGGGUGCUAACGUCCGUCGUGAAGAGGGAAACAACCCAGACCGCCAGCUAAGGUCCCAAAGUCAUGGUUAAGUGGGAAACGAUGUGGGAAGGCACAGACAGCCAGGAUGUUGGCUUAGAAGCAGCCAUCAUUUAAAGAAAGCGUAAUAGCUCACUGGUCGAGUCGGCCUGCGCGGAAGAUGUAACGGGGCUAAACCAUGCACCGAAGCUGCGGCAGCGACACUAUGUGUUGUUGGGUAGGGGAGCGUUCUGUAAGCCUGCGAAG
rnacentral:rRNA from 1 species